rnacentral:rRNA from 1 species
GGGAUAACGAGCCGAAAGGCUCGCUAAUACCGCAUAUGCCGAAAGGUGAAAGGAGUAAUCCGUCUUAAGAUGAGCCCGCGUCCGAUUAGCUAGUUGGUGG